rnacentral:rRNA from 1 species
UACACGACCGUACCGCAAACCGACACUGGUGCGCGAGAUGAGUAUUCUAAGGCGCUUGAGAGAACUCAGGAGAAGGAACUCGGCAAAUUGACACCGUAACUUCGGAAGAAGGUGUGCCUUUAGUAGGUGAAGGGAUUUACUCCUGGAUCCCAAUGAGGUUGCAAAAAAUCGGUGGCUGCGACUGUUUAUUAAAAACACAGCACUCUGCAAACACGAAAGUGGACGUAUAGGGUGUGACGCCUGCCCGGUGCUGGAAGAUUAAAUGAUGGGGUGCAAGCUCUUGAUUGAAGUCCCAGUAAACGGCGGCCGUAACGAUAACGGUCCUAAGGUAGCGAAAUUCCUUGUCGGGUAAGUUCCGACCUGCACGAAUGGCGUAACGAUGGCCACACUGUCUCCUCCUGAGACUCAGCGAAGUUGAAAUGUUUGUGAUGAUGCAAUCUCCCCGCGGAAAGACGGAAAGACCCCAUGAACCUUUACUGUAGCUUUGUAUUGGACUUUGAACAGAUCUGUGUAGGAUAGGUGGGAGGCUUUGAAGCAGGGUCGCUAGAUCUUGUGGAGCCAACGUUGAAAUACCACCCUGGUGUGUUUGAGGUUCUAACCUAGGCCCGUAAUCCGGGUUGGGGACAGUGCAUGGUAGGCAGUUUGACUGGGGCGGUCUCCUCCCAAAGUGUAACGGAGGAGUUCGAAGGUACGCUAGUUACGGUCGGACAUCGUGACGAUAGUGCAAUGGCAUAAGCGUGCUUAACUGCGAGACUGACAAGUCGAGCAGAUGCGAAAGCAGGACAUAGUGAUCCGGUGGUUCUGUAUGGAAGGGCCAUCGCUCAACGGAUAAAAGGUACUCUGGGGAUAACAGGCUGAUACCGCCCAAGAGUUCAUAUCGACGGCGGUGUUUGGCACCUCGAUGUCGGCUCAUCUCAUCCUGGGGCUGUAGCCGGUCCCAAGGGUAUGGCUGUUCGCCAUUUAAAGAGGUACGUGAGCUGGGUUUAAAACGUCGUGAGACAGUUUGGUCCCUAUCUUCCGUGGGCGCUGCAGAUUUGAGGAAGCCUGCUCCUAGUACGAGAGGACCGGAGUGGACGCACCUCUGGUGUAUCGGUUGUCACGCCAGUGGCAUUGCCGAGUAGCUAUGUGCGGAAGAGAUAACCGCUGAAAGCAUCUAAGCGGGAAACUCGUUUCAAGAUGAGAUCUGCCGGGGCCUUGAGCCCCCUGAAGAGUCGUUCGAGACCAGGACGUUGAUAGGUCGGGUGUGGAAGCGCAGUAAUGCGUUAAACUAACCGAUACUAAUUGCUCGUGCGGCUUGACCCC